CCGGCCGGGCCUCUCCUGCCUGGUGGCGCCCGGAAAUCCUUAUUGCGAGGCUCCUGCGUCCUAGUCUCAGCUUGGCCUGUGACUUGCUGGCCAUCUGUUCAGUGGGGUGAUAUCCAUCUGAUGACUGCGUACACUUUUCAGAGCCUCUGCUGCAGGAGGGGCCCUGGCUGACCAGAUGGCCUGCAGCAUGGAGCUGGCCCGCGCUGCCAUCCAGGCACUGUCCCCAUUCUUCAGUGCACCCUUGGAGUUGUGACGGCCAAAAAGGUUAUUGUUCUUGCUUAUUUCAGCUUCAGCUCCUUGUUAGGUGCAAAGGACUUGGCAAGCAGGAAGGCUCAGGGGGAAGGAUAGCUUUUGUGUCUCAGGUUCCAGAGGGGGUCAGUGGUAUGGAAGAGGGCCUAUUCUUCAACAAGCUAACAAACAAGGCUGCUCCUCACAUGCCUUUGGUGUCACCGUCUACAGGGCUCUUUUUCUCUAGUGUCUGGUCAAGGGAGACCCCUCUGCCAUCAGUCACUCGGUUAUCAAGGUCAGCUGAAGUCCUCCACACACUCAGCCUAGGGUGGAGCGGAAGGUUCCUCUCUGCCCUGGGACGAUAGGGAUGAUAGAGAUUCAGACUAACUCCUGCAGAAAUGAAGGAGGUGACAAAGACAGCAGUGCACACUGUCACACGGAUGGGGACUCAGCACCAGGUGGCGGGAGGUACUCAGGACAGGCUUUUGGAGUUUGAGGAGGGCAUGGAAACCAAGAGCUACAUGCGUUGGGGUUCAGGGGACCUCCUAGAGGAGGAUGCUUAAGCUGGAAAGACACCUGCCUAGGUCUUUGAGAGGUCCCACUCAUUCGUUUAUAAAGGUCUUGCUGAGUGCACACCAAGGGACAGGCACUCUGCUGAGUGCAGGAUGUAAAGAUGCUUACAACCCAGGCCUGCCCUCACGAGCUUGCAGUCCAAGCCCGUCAAUGGUGAUUUCAGGAUAGAAGGGGAUGUGAAGAUCAAUUUAUAGCAUACAGUGGGGUGAGCGAGGGGGCUGUCAGUUCUGCCCAAGGAAUCAGCGAAGACUUCGUAAGGGAGAAGCCUGAGCUGGUGCUGGAAGAAAGAGCGGGGCUUCCCAGAUGGACGAAGGAGGAUGGUCAUUUCCAGCAGAGGGGAUCACAGGAAGGAAGCCCCGGGGUGGGAAGUGCCUUGAUGGCUUGGAAGGGCUGGAGAG
rnacentral:lncRNA from 1 species